rnacentral:tRNA from 1 species
GGGGAUUUAGCUCAGCGGCAAUAAGCACCUGCCUUGCAAGCAGGUGGUUGUGGAUUCAAUUCCUG